rnacentral:rRNA from 1 species
UACGUAGGGUGCAAGCGUUUAAUCGGAAUUACUGGGCGUAAAGCGUGCGUAGGCGGUUCGUUAAGUCUGUUGUGAAAGCCCCGGGCUCAACCUGGGAAUGGCAAUGGAUACUGGCGAGCUAGAGUGUGUCAGAGGAUGGUGGAAUUCCCGGUGUAGCGGUGAAAUGCGUAGAGAUCGGGAGGAACAUCAGUGGCGAAGGCGGCCAUCUGGGACAACACUGACGCUGAGGCACGAAAGCGUGGGGAGCAAACAGG